CUGGAAGGCUACAGUAGAGGCAGUUAAAACUUUGACAAGGUGAAGUCCUCGGCAAAGGUUGUUAUAUAGUGAAACUUGUUACUGUUGACACGGGUUUAAAGGUUCUCCUUUUUACCACCUUUCCUGUUUGUAAAAUUGCUAGUGACAUCUUGGAGAGGAUUCUGCUGAAAUUUGAUGCAAGUCAGUGCAUCAUUUAGAAUGGAAAUGAAAUUACCGAAAAAGGGGAUUGGGAAUAUGCCUCCAUAUCUUGUUUGAACAAGAAAGGUAAAUUAGGCACGGAAAACAGAAGGAAAGGACAAAACUGCAAGUGGCAGACAUGAAUCUCUUCAGAAAUGCAGCUGCAGCUACGAAUUACAGAGGUAGUGAAAGGAUGGUUAUGACAAUGGUGGUUGCUCAGUGGUGGUGGUGGUGGAAGUUCCAUCAACGAUAGAUGUGGAGGAGUGAAGGGCUCUAGGGAAUUGGAAGGACAGAUUUGGAGUGAAAAUAUAUUGGUGUGUUCAUUUCAAUUCCAGAACUGGACCAGACAGUCCAGACAGCAGUAGUUGAUUUGAGAAGUUCUCAGUUUGUGGAUGCCACGUGGACCAAUAUGGAAGCUAUGAUGAGAGGUAUGACACUUCAGCCAAACCCCUCUCAACAACAACCAUUUGAUUGAUUUAUAGCACACAUUCUCUCUGCUCCUCCUUAGCAAAAGCCUAGGUUGUUUGUAUCUGCAAGGAAACCAGAACCAUAGGGUGUGAAGUGGGAUUCCCGCCAUAUAUCCAAUUCCCUCUUGUGUAUGGAUACGUGAAUCUACCCAACCGACAUUUUAUUUUUAUCCUUAUUAGUUCCUGCCGACCUUCCUCUCAUUUGUUGAACAAAACAGCAAAUUAUUUCCGGAGACACGUUAAAGCUGGAUUUGAAUGGUGAGGUUGAGUAUUUUGACUGGAUUAUGGAACGAUGCUUUCGUUUGUCGAAAAUGAUAAAGAUGUCCGCUAUUGUUAUCUGAGUAGCUGAGUUGGACGGACAAUAUCCAACUGAAUUUGUGAGCUCCACGCACAUAAAAUGCUGCUGGGAACCCUAUCAUUAAUGUUAUAGUUUGUGAGCUGUUUGUCUAAGGGAUUGAAUAAAUGAAGGGAACCCAUGAAGGUCAUAAUCAAAGCUGUUGUUGAGGUGGGGGGACGUGUGUGUGAUGGAAGUUGUCAUUUGUAUGUACAUGUGAAAAUAAUAAGAUCCAGGACCAAAAUGAGGUCCCCAUGCACGCGCAGAUGCUGAUGGAGUCAGAGCAGAUAUAUAUAUUCCAGCUUAUCUGAAACCUGUAGGCUGUAGAGUUUCUGAAGAAAGAGCAUAGAAGAUGAGUCAUAUUAUCAAUGAGUCUCAAAUGGAAAUGGAACAGGUCAGCUGCUUCGGAUUAAAAGAGAAAAGACAGGUAACAGGUGGGUCUGGUGCGAGAGUAAAGAAAAAGGUGGUGGUCGUCUGUGGCUCUGUUCGUAGGUGAAUAAUAUCCCUCUCUACUGGUUUGCCUCUCGAGUCUGUCGUUGGCCUUUGCCUUUCACAUUAAAGUUUUUGCCUUUCUGGAAUAAUCAAAAAAAUUUGUUGAUUAUUAUUAUUAUUAUUUGUAAAGAAGAGUUUACUCGUAAGACUCGUGAGAGAUCCAACACUUUGGGAGCCUUCAAUGACGUGGUGGACCAUGCAAAUCUCUUUCUUUCUCUCUGAGAGCAUUAGUUAACGCGUCUGCUUAUGAACCAAAAAGCCUCAUCUUGGGUCGUGA